rnacentral:rRNA from 1 species
GAGUUUGAUCGUGGCUCAGAUUGAACGCUGGCGGCAUGCUUUACACAUGCAAGUCGAGCGGGGUGAGGGGGCAACUCCUCAUUCAGCGGCGGACGGGUGAGUAAUACAUCGGAACGUGUCCUGUCGUGGGGGAUAACCAGUCGAAAGAUUGGCUAAUACCGCAUGACCUCGUAAGAGAAAAGCGGGGGACCGUAAGGCCUCGCGCGACUGGAGCGGCCGAUGUCGGAUUAGCUAGUUGGCGGGGUAAAAGCCCACCAAGGCGACGAUCCGUAGCUGGUUUGAGAGAACGACCAGCCACACUGGGACUGAGACACGGCCCAGACUCCUACGGGAGGCAGCAGUGGGGAAUUUUGGACAAUGGGGGCAACCCUGAUCCAGCCAUGCCGCGUGUGUGAAGAAGG